UUCACCCUACGGGGCGCAGCAGUGGGGGAUAUUGCACAAUGGGGGAAACCCUGAUGCAGCGACGCCGCGUGGGCGAAGAAGUAUUUCGGUAUGUAAAGCCCUAUCAGCAGGGAAGAAGAAAUGACGGUACCUGAGUAAGAAGCACCGGCUAAAUACGUGCCAGCAGCCGCGGUAAUACAUAGGGGGCAAGCGUUAUCCGGAUUUAUUGGGUGUAAAGGGCGCGUAGACGGAGAAACAAGUUGGUUGUGAAAUCCCUCGGCUCAACUGAGGAACUGCAACCAAAACUAUUUCCCUUGAGUGUCGGA
rnacentral:rRNA from 1 species